GUACCUCCUUUCCACCAGCAGGCUAUCUGGGCCCAGUUUUACGAGGAUUACUUUUGCAGCUAAAUAAUUGAGCUGCCUGUUACUAUAUCUAUGUCACCAACCCGUGAUUUGCAUUUAGCAUUUAGCAAUGUCAAAAAUCUUUUGUACUGCCUUUAGUGAUCGUCGAUUAGCUGAUCAUUUUGGAGGGAAGCUUCAUUUGGGUUAACAUGCUGAUCCGCGACAAAUUAGCAGAGCUUCAGGAGGAAAAGAACAAAGUUCACAAACGGUCGAAAAAGGAGGUUCACUUUCCUAAAGCUUUUAGAUGAAAAACUACUAACCUCAGAUCAAAGGAGAGGAGCAGAGAGCGAGAAUCAAGUAAAGAAAGAGACAGGGGAGAUAGCCGUGGCCGUGGAAGAGAUAUUGACCGUAGGUAACUCGAAGAAAGCAGUCUUAUUAUUUACUGGUUGCAUCUAAAAUAUAUAUGUUUUUAACUAUGUUUACAGACCCCAUGACAGCUAUUAAGACUGCUGGAGAUAGUUGCAGCAAGUUUAAGAAGUUUUUAGAGAUGCGUCUAGAAUCAAUCUGAAGUUACUAACACUUUUGUUUUUCUUAUGUGUUCAAGAUUUGUGAGAUUGUAAAGUUGCUUAGUUUUCAAGAGGAGUUUCUUGUAAUGUUCUAACCUUUUUAUAUCUGUUGAGUAGAAGAUUGUGGCGAUGGAAUAUAAACUUCAGAAUUUAAUUA